AGCAGCCGCGGUAAUUCCAGCUCCAAUAGCGUAUAUUAAAGUUGUUGCAGUUAAAAAGCUCGUAGUUGAAUUUCGGGGUCAAUACGUCGGUCGUGCCUUCGGUACGUACUGGUGUUAUUGAUCUCUCCCUUCUGAUGAAUCAUGAUGUCAUUAAUUUGGUGUCCUGGGGAGUCAGGACUGUUACUUUGAAAAAAUUAGAGUGUUUAAAGCAGGCUCACGCUUGAAUACAUUAGCAUGGAAUAAUGAAAUAGGACGUUCGAUCCUAUUUUGUUGGUUUCUAGGAUCAACGUAAUGAUUAAUAGGGAUAGUUGGGGGCAUUAGUAUUCAAUUGUCAGAGGUGAAAUUCUUGGAUUUAUUGAAGACUAACUACUGCGAAAGCAUUUGCCAAGGAUGUUUUCUAUUAAUCAAGAACGAAGGUUAGGGGAUCGAAGACGAUCAGAUACCGUCGUA
rnacentral:rRNA from 1 species